CAUGUCAUCAUCUUCUUCAAAGCUGGACACGAACAGAGGAGUCGCAGGACUGCUACGUUUUCAGUUUCUCUGUAUUUACUCACCAAUUGAUUCCGGGCGUUUUAAGCCACCAUUUGAUACACCGGUUGUUGCUACUUAAGCCCCACACCCUCCUCUUCAUUUCCCCUCCAAUCUCACAGGUCGAGAGCCUCCAGCCUGCUCUAAUUUUACCUCGCAAUUCCACGGUACUGCCGCAGUAAAUCGUCGAUUCCGCAACGUCGCUAUCUUCGUCUGUGAGCACGUCCGCGGGAUAGUUUUCCGGCGAGCGAUUACCGGAGAACCAGUGUACCACGACGUCCGCGAUUUCGCCAUCAAUUUCGUCUUGUCAAUUCGAGCGCCGUCGUCUGCUUCACCAUCACCAGCGAUCACCAGAACCUUGACACCGUCAACCAGCGAGCCUGCACGACGACCACGUAGUCCAACCGCUGUUCUCAUUGUGGUUGUGCUGAUUGCAACGUGUGCGAUUGUGAAGAUUGCACCAACUCCUCACCUUAACCAGGCAAGUGACACACACCAAAAGUCCCAGUUUUAAUUCUUGCACCGUAGUAUUUUUAUAGUAGACAUGUCUAGGAUUUAUGCUUUUUGCUUGCUAUUAAAUCCUAGUAGUUUAGCUACACCACUCCUAGACUCGCUUAGCCGCCAUUAAAUUUAGUUGUUACCUGCUAUGCCAUGGAAAAGGUUUUGAUAGAGGUUAAGGAAAAACAACUAAGUUUAAUGAAUUACCUGGGUGAAUGGUGGAGUUAUGGAGAGGGUGGAUGUAUCAGGGGCAAGACCCUGGUGCUAGUGCACACUUGCGGAAAGUCACCCAGACUUAAAGAGAUUGUAGACAAACCUUGCUCAUUAGCUUUCCGUACAACCACAUGCUACUAUGGCUCUGGCUUGACAAAGUAUGUUGUAUGAACCCGGAUCGUAGGGGCCAGGUGGUGGUAGAGGGAUACCAUAGGUGGAAUGGGGCCCUUAGGGAAUGGUUCGGGUGAUUACACACAGAAGGUCUCGGCCACGGUCUGCACCUGUCCUCUGAGCAAAAUGUGCAUCGAUGUAGAAGGAUUGACCUGGCCAUGUGGGUAAAGGUGUACAACCUCUCGAGAGUGUAAAAUCUAAGUACUUAGCCGUGUCCCCGGUUAUGGACAACUUGAGCGAACUGACAAGUCCUUGUUCGAAGAUCUCCUCAUCCCAAUUUCUUAAAUAAAAACUGGUGGGUGAACCAGGGUAGGAAGGUACAUUGGGGCUUUACCAAUGUUACUAUUAAUUGGUACAUUGGGGAUUUACCAAUGUUACUGCUAAUUAGAUUGAAAGAAAAUAUUUUGAUAAAUGAUAGGGAAAAAUUGGCUUUAUGCAAAAUGAACCUGAGCUCUACCUGCCAGAUGUGCACGUAGGUGUAGGAUGCCUUUUGAGUCCACAAAAGUGUCCUUCCCAAUACAAUUCAAAUGUAUUGACCAUUCGUGGCUGCAACAUAUCAUGUUGCAGGUUUUUCAGUCGAUGAGUAAGGGAAUGUUAGGGGUUACGAGUCUAUCCUCAACAUGCUCGCCUGUGGCACAUGAAGAUGAAGGACUCCAUGCUGUCUAUGUUUAUUCGUUGUGAAACUCUGAUAAUAUGCUAGCCUUGUGCUAUGCAAUUUGUAAUCCUUUAUGUAAAUUCUGGAUCAUACGAUGUAAUAAAGACCUUUGUUUCUUGGUAUUA